GGGUAUGUAGCUUAGUGGUAGAAUGUUUGCCUAAAAUGCACAAGAUCCUAGGUUCAAAUCCUAGCAUGGCCA